CUAGUACUCCCUCCGUCCAAAAAUACUUGUCAUCAAAAUGGACAAAAAAGGAUGUAUCUAGAACUAAAAUACAUCUAGAUACAUCCCCUUUUAUUCAUUUUGAUGACAAGUAUUUCCGGACGGAAGGAGUAAUAA
rnacentral:pre_miRNA from 1 species